GGACCAUAGCCCUCCAGGCUUCUGUCUAUGGGAUUUUCCCAGCAAGAAUACUGGGGUGGGUUGCCAUUUCCUCCUCCAGGGCAUCUUCCCAACCCAGGGAUCGAACCUGGAUCUCCUGCAUUGCAGACGAACUCUUUACUGCUGAGUCACCGAGGAAGCCCAGUAAGUGAAAAUGGCUGAAGAAUCCUGAAUUACUCUAGCAUUUCUUUACCCAGUGGCUCUACAAGACAACCAAUUACAAGACAGAUAAAGUUUUCUUUAAUAUCUUUGAACCUCAGUUCUCUCAUCUAUGGAAUUAAGGAGGUCAUCUCUUUCACAAGAAUGAGCUGAGUGUACUGAAUGAUACAUCCUGUUGAAAACUAAUGUACCAAAUGCCACAGAACCACCUGAGGUAACAUUCACUAAGAUCAGAAAGAUCUUGACUAAGAAAUACUGGGUUAGAGAGCAUGAAGCAACCCACAUCACUACUCCAGUCACCCUGUGUUUCAGAAUUAGUUCGUUGCCAUGAACCCUGGAAUAAACUGACAUUUGGCACAGCACAUUCAAAAGCAGAGACGCUACUUUCCAACAAAGUCCGUCUAGUCAAGGCCAUGCUUUUUCCAGUGGUCAUGUGUGGAUGUGAGAGUUGGACUGUGAAGAAAGCUGAGCGCUGAAGAAUUGAUGCUUUUGAACUGUGGUGUUGGAGAAGACUCUUGAGAGUCCCUUGGACUGCAAGGAGAUCCAACCAGUCCAUUCUGAAGGAGAUCAGUCCUGGGUGUUCAUUGGAAGGAAUGAUGCUGAAGCUGAAACUCCAAUACUUUGGCCACCUCAUGUGAAGAGUUGACUCAUUGGAGAAGACUCUGAUGCUGGGAGGGAUUGAGGGCAGGAGGAGAAGGGGACGACAGAGGAUGAGAUGUCUGGAUGGCAUCACCAACUCGAUGGAGAUGAGUUUGAGUGAACUCCGGCAGUUGGUAAUGGACAAGGAGGCCUGGCGUGCUGCGGUUCAUGGAGUCGCAAAGAGUUGGACAUGACUGAGCGACUGAACUGAACUGAACAUUGUGAGAUACACAACUUGCGUAAUAAAAUCUGCCAGUGUGCAAGUCACAACAGGGAUUCUCCACCACCCCAGCCAAGCUGGGCAAGGACCAGAAAAUCCUGCUGUAUUCCCUUUACUGUGUCAAUGACAUCCUCUUUGGAAAGAAGAGACUCAGAAGCAAAGCUUAAUAAUUUUCCCA
ensembl:lncRNA